CUUGACCCUGGGUUUGCUGGUGAGAAGGAGCCACAAAUCUAAGCCAGGAUGAUCUCUGUGGAGUCUUUGUCCUCCCUUCCUCUGUGUUCACACAAAACCCUACCGGGAAGCUUCUACAGCCACAUGAUUCCUGCUCAAAGGCUGAGAGUUCAAUGGGUCUUAGGUAGCCCAGGUAGACUUUGAAUUCCCUAUGUAGCUGAACUCCGGAGGCUCAUGACUUCACUUCUGAAGUACCAGGAUGUGAUGUGUGUGCAGCCAUGCUCAGCUUGUGCAGAGCCGUGGAUGGAACAGAUGGCUUUAUGGAUGCUUGUUCAUCAUCCUUUCUUGACAUCAGAACCUGUUUUUUUUUUUUUUUUUUUUUGUCUUUUAGCCUGGACUGAAGAGCCAUGACUAUCCAAGAACCCUCCAUGCCCUGGGCACGAGGUUGGGAUGGCUGAGGCAUGUGGCUUCAUGGACUGAGCAGCCCCUACACCUUUACUCUCUACAAUGUGAAGACAGCCAUGGUUGGAAUACCUAGGCUUUAUUGUGCAAGCUAAUUGAAUAAAGUCCUGUUUUUAAUAUGC
rnacentral:lncRNA from 1 species